UACAGAGGGUGCGAGCGUUGUUCGGAAUUAUUGGGCGUAAAGGGCGCGUAGGCGGCGCCACAAGUCACUUGUGAAAACUCUGGGCUCAACUCAGAGCCUGCAAGCGAAACUGUGGUGCUGGAGUAUGGGAGAGGUGCGUGGAAUUCCCGGUGUAGCGGUGAAAUGCGCAGAUAUCAGGAAGAACACCCGUGGCUAAGGCGGCUCUCUAGUACGGUACUGACGCUGAGACGCGAAAGCGUGGGGAGCAAACAGG
rnacentral:rRNA from 1 species